rnacentral:rRNA from 1 species
GUGGGGAAUCUUGCGCAAUGGGCGAAAGCCUGACGCAGCCAUGCCGCGUGAAUGAUGAAGGUCUUAGGAUUGUAAAAUUCUUUCACCGGGGACGAUAAUGACGGUACCCGGAGAAGAAGCCCCGGCUAACUUCGUGCCAGCAGCCGCGGUAAUACGAAGGGGACUAGCGUUGCUCGGAAUUACUGGGCGUAAAGGGCGCGUAGGCGGAUCGUUAAGUCAGAGGUGAAAUCCCAGAGCUCAACUCUGGAACUGCCCUUGAUACUGGCGAUCUUGAGUGUGAGAGAGGUAUGGGGAACUCCGAGUGUAGAGGUGAAAUUCGUAGAUAUUCGGAAGAACACCAGUGGCGAAGGCGACAUACUGGCUCAUUACUGACGCUGAGGCGCGAAAGCGUGGGGAGCAAACAGGAUUAGAAACCCGAGUAGUCC